GCUUGAUGAUGAUAUGACUUUGACGGACGCUCAACUUCGGUCCCCAUAUGUGUUCAAGCCUAGGCAGCCCAGACGCCGGUACACGCCCAACGACUUUGACAACAGAGGCAACCCAAAGGUGGUCGUAGGGACCUCGCGGAUGGCUAGCUUGGAUCAUGAGGCGGAGGCGGAGGCGGAGGAGGCAGUGCAGGAAGAGGAGGCUCGUCCACCCAGGAAGAAGAAGAUUGCCUGCAGGCGUGGCACCAGGAACACGCGCGGAAGGCAUUAGUGCUUGUGUUAGUUAGUGCUCUUGUAGCCGUUUCAUUAGGUCGAUGAACUUGUGAGGUUAUGUUAUAUGUUGGUGAAUUCUUACUAGUGUGGUAUUUGUGUUUGCGAACUAGUAGUAAUGUUGAAUUGUCCUAAAUGAUGUGAUGUUCAAGUUAUUAGUUGUCUUUGUUCA